rnacentral:rRNA from 1 species
GUAGCCGGCCUGAGAGGGCGACCGGCCACACUGGGACUGAGACACGGCCCAGACUCCUACGGGAGGCAGCAGUGGGGAAUAUUGCACAAUGGGCGAAAGCCUGAUGCAGCGACGCCGCGUGAGGGAUGACGGCCUUCGGGUUGUAAACCUCUUUCAGCAGGGAAGAAGCGAAAGUGACGGUACCUGCAGAAGAAGCGCCGGCUAACUACGUGCCAGCAGCCGCGGUAAUACGUAGGGCGCAAGCGUUGUCCGGAAUUAUUGGGCGUAAAGAGCUCGUAGGCGGCUUGUCACGUCGGAUGUGAAAGCCCGAGGCUUAACCUCGGGUCUGCAUUCGAUACGGGCUGGCUAGAGUGUGGUAGGGGAGAUCGGAAUUCCUGGUGUAGCGGUGAAAUGCGCAGAUAUCAGGAGGAACACCGGUGGCGAAGGCGGAUCUCUGGGCCAUUACUGACGCUGAGGAGCGAAAGCGUGGGGAGCGAACAGGAUUAGAUACCCUGGUAGUCCACGCCGUAAACGUUGGGAACUAAGGUGUUGGCGACAUUCCACCUCCCCGGGGCCGCAGCUAACGCAUUAAGUUUCCCCCGCCUGGGGAA